GCCAAUGUGGCAUAGUGGUUUGAGCAUUGGACUAUGACUCUAGAGAUCAAGGUUCAAUUCCCCGCUCGAUCACG